UAUAUAAUUAAAUAGAAAUAUUUUCUAUGAAUUUCACAAGUAAACCUUUAAAAACCAUAGUAAUCAUAGUAAAGGUACUGUUGGCCAUUGUAAAAAUGAACACAGGGUUAGUGUUAGGUUGGCCAGCGAGAGAUUUACUUUUGUGCAGUAAAAAGCUCAAAAUAACUGCAUAUCGUUGUCUGGACUCUUGUUUGUGUUUUUGUAAUCAUUAUAGUAGAAACACAAGUGACAAACGUGAUAAACUUAUCAAUGUUUGUUUACAGCCGCCACCAUUAAGUUACUCCCUCACGUGCUGAUCAUGAAAGCAGUAUGUGUGCACAUGCGAGUGAUCUUGUGUUUUAAUAAACUUGCUGUGCGGAGAUAAGUGCCUAGACGCAACUCAAUAAGGAUUGAGCUGUUUGCAAUCCCGUAUUUUAUAAGAAUACCAAAAAGCACGUUGAAUUUCCUGACUCGUGUGUUUGUGUAUGUGCGCGUCGCGUUGCGUGAACUGUUUGACGGAAGAACAAAGAAAACACUCGCGUCUGGAGAAACUGACACACAUAUGCAAGUAAAUAAGGAUUUAGAUGUCAUAUUUGGUGCACUCGGAUGGAACAACAAGGAAUGGAGAGACUGGAUUCUGGAUUGCGUAUCAAUUGACUGUAGGAGGCAUGAGUUAUGCAUAUGGAUGUCUCUGCUCAUUCACUUCAAUGGCGCGGGGGUGUGGCGAUCUCAUCUCAUUACAGAUAAACAGGUAACAGGAGAAAUACGGUACCUCUCCUCCUUCUCAUACAGUUUACACCGAAUGACAAUAUAUGUUUUCAAUCUAACUUACAUAAUUUAAAGGCGGAGUCCACGAUGUUUGAAAAACGCUUUGGAAAAGGAGACGGGCCGACUACCAAAACACACUUAUAGCCAAUCAGCAGUAAGGAGCGUGUCUACUAACCGACAUCCUUGCCGGGUUGCGUAUGUGUGGGGCGGGUCUAUCAACAAAAAGUCCAGAUUUUAUUGGGGUAGAGGCGUGUUUGUUUAGGUGAUUUCAAAUACCAACAUUGGCUUUCAAACAUCAUGCACUCCGCCUUUAAAAGCUGACAUUCCAAGCAUUAUGUAGACAUUUAACGAAUACAUGUCAUAGAAACAAAAGAUAAGUUACAUUGAAUUUUUCUGAUGUGUUUUAGAAAGGACUUCACUGAGGGAGAGAGAACAAAACAUGCAUCAUGUUUAUUUUUUUAAUUUUGUUGUUUGCUUAAUCAUUCUGUUUUUAUUGGAAGUGGAUAGAAAAAAACUAGACACUUCAAUGUUUUAAAUGAUAUAUAAAUCCUAUUUGUAUGUCCUAAAUCAGCAGAGUUAUCUAAGUCUCUUUGUGGAGUGAUUGAAAAAUAAAGAGUUUGCGGCGCCCCCGCCGCGGUCAACCCCAGAGAGUUAAGCUUACCAAAUACUCACCUGUAAAGCCUCCUUGCCUGCUAAAGCUAAAGCCCAGUGUAUUCACCGCCUCCUGUAAGUUAAGCUUACCAAAUACUCACAUGUAAAGCCUCCUUGCCUGCUAAAGCUCAGUGUAUUUACCGCCUACUGUAAGUUAAGCUUACCAAAUACUCACCUGUAAAGCCUUCUUGCCUGCUAAAGCUAAAGCCCAGUGUAUUCACCGCCUGCUGUAAGUUAAGCUUACCAAAUACUCACCUGUAAAGCCUCCUUGCCUGCUAAAGCUUAGUGUAUUCACCGCCUGCUGUAAAAGUGAACUGUCUGUCCCAAGUUAAAGGUCCCCUGUACCUACCCGACUGUCUACAGUUAAAGGCCCAGUAUACUUACCUGCUCAUCUAAAGUUAAAGGCCCCAUAUACUUGCCCGUCUGUCCAAAGUUAAAGGCCCCGUAUACCUACCCGCCUGUCUAAAGUAAAGGCUCCUGUACCUACCUGGCUGUUCACAGUUGAAGGCCCCAUAUACUUACCUGCUCGCCCAAAGUUAAAGGACCCUGUACCUACCUGGGUGCCCAAAGUUAAAGGCCCUGGGUACUCUUCUGGUUGUUCAAAGCUAAAGGCCCCCAUACUUACCUGUUGCCGAAGUUAAAGACCCUGUGUAUUUGCCCAGCUGGCCCCAGUUAAAGGUCCCCUCUACUUACCCGUUUGCCCAAAGCGAAAGGCCUGUAUACACACCUGUCUGUCCAACGUCGAGAGCCCUGGGAACUUACCUGUUGGCCCAAAGUUAAAAGUCCGGGGUACUCACCUGUAUGUUCGUUCGUUCAAUACUGAGAGCUGUGAUAUUGGUCUGCGCACCCUACCGGACCCCUGUCGUAGAGCAAACACAGAGUGAUCAGUGGAUGGACCUAAGCCCAGGGCCAGAGGUUGAGAGGAAGAUACCUGCUGCCGCCUAGUGAAGCGAGGAAGGAAACCCAGGAUCACUUACCUGUUGUGUACGAGGCCUAUCUAGAGGAAUUCCCUUCUCUGCACCCUUGAGUCCGGGAGGACGAGCCUGGGCUUUCACAUUAGUUACCCCCAGCUACCCAUCUGAUUCCAGCAGCCCUUUUAGUAUUUCUCUUUUUUAAAAAGAAAUAAACCUCGUUAACUUUUA